rnacentral:rRNA from 1 species
CUGAUGCAGCCAUGCCGCGUGUGUGAAGAAGGCCUUCGGGUUGUAAAGCACUUUCAGUCGUGAGGAAGGUGGUGUUGUUAAUAGCUGCAUUAUUUGACGUUAGCGACAGAAGAAGCACCGGCUAACUCCGUGCCAGCAGCCGCGGUAAUACGGAGGGUGCGAGCGUUAAUCGGAAUUACUGGGCGUAAAGCGCAUGCAGGUGGUUUGUUAAGUCAGAUGUGAAAGCCCGGGGCUCAACCUCGGAAUAGCAUUUGAAACUGGCAGACUAGAGUACUGUAGAGGGGGGUAGAAUUUCAGGUGUAGCGGUGAAAUGCGUAGAGAUCUGAAGGAAUACCGGUGGCGAAGGCGGCCCCCUGGACAGAUACUGACACUCAGAUGCGAAAGCGUGGGGAGCAAACAGGAUUAGAUACCCUGGUAGUCCACGCCGUAAACGAUGUCUACUUGGAGGUUGUGGCCUUGAGCCGUGGCUUUCGGAGCUAACGCGUUAAGUAGACCGCCUGGGGAGUACGGUCGCAAGAUUAAAACUCAAAUGAAUUGACGGGGGCCCGCACAAGCGGUGGAGCAUGUGGUUUAAUUCGAUGCAACGCGAAGAACCUUACCUACUCUUGACAUCCAGAGAACUUUCCAGAGAUGGAUUGGUGCCUUCGGGAACUCUGAGACAGGUGCUGCAUGGCUGUCGUCAGCUCGUGUUGUGAAAUGUUGGGUUAAGUCCCGCAACGAGCGCAACCCUUAUCCUUGUUUGCCAGCACUUCGGGUGGGAACUCCAGGGAGACUGCCGGUGAUAAACCGGAGGAAGGUGGGGACGACGUCAAGUCAUCAUGGCCCUUACGAGUAGGGCUACACACGUGCUACAAUGGCGCAUACAGAGGGC